rnacentral:rRNA from 1 species
UGCGUAGGCGGGUCUUUAAGUCAGAGGUGAAAUCCUGGAGCUCAACUCCAGAACUGCCUUUGAUACUGAGGAUCUUGAGUUCGGGAGAGGUGAGUGAAACUGCGAGUGUAGAGGUGAAAUUCGUAGAUAUUCGCAAGAACACCAGUGGCGAAGGCGGCUCACUGGCCCGAUACUGACGCUGAGGCAAGACGUGGGGAGGGCGAACAA